rnacentral:rRNA from 1 species
AUUGAACGCUGGCGGCAUGCCUUACACAUGCAAGUCGAACGGCAGCACGGGAGCAAUCCUGGUGGCGAGUGGCGAACGGGUGAGUAAUAUAUCGGAACGUGCCCGGUCGUGGGGAUAACGUAGCGAAAGCUACGCUAAUACCGCAUACGAUCUACGGAUGAAAGCGGGGGGAUCGCAAGACCUCGCGCGAUUGGAGCGGCCGAUAUCAGAUUAGGUAGUUGGUGAGGUAAGGCUCACCAAGCCGACGAUCUGUAGCUGGUCUGAGAGGAUGAUCAGUCACACUGGAACUGAGACACGGUCCAGACUCCUACGGGAGGCAGCAGU